rnacentral:lncRNA from 1 species
UAACUUUUUUCACUAUAAAAUAUGUUUUCCGGUACUCCCAAGACCGGCGUUUAUUCCGAGAUUGAUAUUGGGAAAACUAUUAACUGCACAGACAUUGAGAAAAUACGAUUAUUUUUGUUUAAAUGAGGAUUAGUAAAAUAAGGACGGAAUAAUGAGUUGAUGAGUGACACUAAGUGAGUCAAACUUUAAUUAACCUCACUCUCUUAACUUACAAUACUUCUUAGAUUCGGGUAAGAUACGGUUUAUAGCUUUUCUUAGAUUUUAACUAGGACAAGUUAAGAAACGUCUCUUAAAUAAAAGAUAUAAAAACCAUCUAUUAGCCGAAAAAUAUAAAAAAAAAAACAAAAACAAAAAAGUAUCAAAUCAAAAGUUAAGUUUUCCGGCUAAGAGACCGGGUUAAUGAUGCCUUUAGGCCUUUUGACCGUUAAUAUUUGCCUCCAAGGACAAUAUAUUCUGUUUUUAAUUUG